AGUUUAAUGCCAGAUGUCCAAGGUCAUGCCAAGACAAAAAUCAAAAUCUUGGCAGAGCAUUCUCAAGAGCUAGGUGCCAAACAUUUUUUGUUUUUGUUUUUGAUAAUAUUUGUCUAGUACAUGGGGUUGGUCACGUGACUUUUUAUUUCACAAGGCUCGGUCGGAACUGGGAACUAGGUAACUCAUGUCAAUAUGGCGGACAAACAUGGCGGCCAAGGGGACAAGGGGAAUACUCUGACGAAGUCAAAGAAAUGCAGCUAAAAUAUUGUUUUCUUGUAUAAUUUUGUCUUGGUUGAGUGCACUUUUUAUUGCUAUGUUGGUUUUAUCCAUUUCUUUUGGAAAAUCAUCAAUGUCGUUUCAAAUUACAACCGGUAUUUGAGACAAUGCCGAAAGAUUCUCUACAGAUUUCAGAUAUUAUCACAAGUCUUGAACUCUGUUCUACAUUUGCUCCACCUUCACUGUUAGAUGAUGACUGCCAGCCUGCUCAAACUGAAAAGACAUGGGCUUGAAAGGAAAUAGCCUUGUCUACAAAAUCCACAUUUUAAUCAUUUUUUAAAUGUACAGUGUCUAUUAUGUUUUAACAAAUACAAAUAUAAAGAAUCAAUAAAUU